AGAGUGGUCACCUAUUCUCAACUCCAUGACCUAAGACAAGUUACAAGCCAUUAUUCCAGGAGUACCAGAGAAGACCCCCUUUUUCUCCCCUUUGAUUGAAAGAUGAAUUUAGCAAAUUGGGUUUAAUCCCUGAUGCCUUCACAGGAAUGGUCCCAACCUAGCUGUUUGGGAUCACCACAGAAGCUCAUAAAACAGGCUCCUAGACCUUCCUCCUCAUUCAUAAGCUCAGAAUCCUAGAAGAGGGGUUAUGGGGAGGCAAAAAUCUGUAUUUUUUCAAGGCCUCACAUAACCUGAUUAGCAGAUCAAUAUGUAAGAGCCACAGUUCUAUAUCACUGUGGGUUUCUAUCUUUGUUAGCAACAUGGUCUCAGGGCAUCUGGGUUAACGAAGAGGUCGAACUCUUGAACUUGCAGAUGCCUUUGUAUUCUCUUUCCCCUUUGCCAGUUUGAAAAGUCACUUCCAAAGACGAUUAGAGAGGAAGGAUCCUUUGCCCCUUCUUUACAACCUAGGUUGUAAAAUCCCCAUAAAGCUGGUUCUGGCUGUUCUUGGGGAUCCGAGACCACCUCAUUUCCACAUCCUGAAGACAUUGUUUGAACUGAAAAGCUCAGACAUAAAUUAACAUAAAUGUUUUCUUCCAUGAUUCCUUUUCAAACUUGUUUUCUCUUAGAUGGUGCACCCAGUUAAUGAGAAAUUUUGGUUUUUAAGGGAAAUACGAAAUUGAAGUAAGUACAUCCCAGUGUGACUUAGUAUAGGUGAAAUGGAAUCAAAAGUGGUAUUCUUUGAGGACCUGAAGGGACAUUCUAAUUGGAGACUACCCCUAAAUCACAAAACUUAACAUUUGUUUUAAAUUUGGGAGAUUGGCAUAGAGUUUUUUUUGGUAUACUGGUUUCAUUCCUGGAUCUUAACACUUUGGAUCUCAGCAGUCGAUCCUGAGCCCAGGCUUCCCCGGUGAAUCAGAGCAGUGGGACUGACCGUGGAACACGCCGUGUACUGGUCAGUCUCUCUCCUUACAAGUUUGCUUCCAGAUGCCGCAAGCCAACGCGGGGCUCUGCCACUACAAUGUGAUUUAUGUGGGUGCUUUUUUCUGUGGCAUUUAUCACAUUGUAAUAAGCUAGAUCGCACAUCCCGAAGAGCAUUUUAUGUUGAACUAUUGGCAACAUGAAUGUUUAAGCUGGGGAAUCUGUCAUUGUUUACCACUGAGAGGGCUUGGCUGCCUUGGAGCAGCCAGAGUACUUUCGUGAGCCUUCUUGGGGAAGAGGCAGCCAGGCACCCAGACCUCUUUUCUGUUUGUUAGCCG
rnacentral:lncRNA from 1 species